GACGAACGCUGGCGGCGUGCCUAAUACAUGCAAGUAGAACGCUGAAGGAGGAGCUUGCUCUUCUGGAUGAGUUGCGAACGGGUGAGUAACGCGUAGGUAACCUGCCUGGUAGCGGGGGAUAACUAUUGGAAACGAUAGCUAAUACCGCAUAACAGUAGAUGUUGCAUGACAUUUGCUUAAAAGGUGCAAUUGCACCACUACCAGGUGGACCUGCGUUGUAUUAGCUAGUUGGUGGGGUAACGGCUCACCAAGGCGACGAUACAUAGCCGACCUGAGAGGGUGAUCGGCCACACUGGGACUGAGACACGGCCCAGACUCCUACGGGAGGCAGCAGUAGGGAAUCUUCGGCAAUGGACGGAAGUCUGACCGAGCAACGCCGCGUGAGUGAAGAAGGUUUUCGGAUCGUAAAGCUCUGUUGUAAGAGAAGAACGAGUGUGAGAGUGGAAAGUUCACACUGUGACGGUAGCUUACCAGAAAGGGACGGCUAACUACGUG
rnacentral:rRNA from 1 species